rnacentral:rRNA from 1 species
UACGUAGGUGGCAAGCGUUGUCCGGAUUUACUGGGCGUAAAGGGCGUGCAGGCGGUCUGUUAAGUGCAGGGUGAAAGCUCCCGGCUCAACUGGGAGAGGUCCUUGCAUACUGGCGGACUUGAGGGGGGUAGAGGAAAGUGGAAUUCCCGGUGUAGUGGUGAUAUGCGUAGAGAUCAUGAGGAAGACCAGUGGCGAAGGCGGGUCUCUGGACAGUUCCUGACACUGAGGCACGAAGGCCAGGGGAGCAAACGGG